CAUUGUCUUCUUCUUCGCGAAGAUGUUACGGUCGUCGCUCCACCGAGGUACUACUGCUUUCCGGCCAUGGAGAUCGCCGGCCGCCACCCUCGGUAUCCUCCGCUUCUCGACCUCGGCCGCAGAGUCUCCGAGUCACGGGGCCCCUCCUCCAAGAGUGCGGAAUCUCAUCGGGGGGGAAUUCUUGGAAUCCCAAUCUGAAGCUUUGAUCGAUGUCAUAAACCCAGCUACGCAAGAGGUGGUCUCUAGGGUUCCGCUAAUUACUAACGAGGAGUUCAAAGCUGCAGUGAGUGCAGCGAAGAGUGCUUUCCCAAAAUGGAGGAACACACCCGUCACCGCGAGGCAGCGGAUCAUGUUCAAGCUCCAAGAACUCAUCCGGAGGGACAUGGAUAAGCUUGCCUUGAAUAUUACCACUGAACAAGGAAAGACGCUCAAGGAUGCCCAGGGUGAUGUUUUUCGUGGCUUAGAGGUGGUGGAGCAUGCUUGUGGAAUGGCUACUCUUGAGAUGGGCGAGUUCGUUUCCAAUGUUUCAACUGGUAUUGAUACAUAUAGCAUUAGGGAGCCACUUGGCGUGUGUGCAGGGAUAUGUCCGUUUAAUUUUCCUGCAAUGAUUCCAUUAUGGAUGUUCCCUAUCGCAGUUACGUCUGGCAACACCUUCAUUCUAAAGCCAUCAGAGAAAGAUCCAGGGGCAGCCAUGAUGCUUGCAGAGCUAGCAAUGGAGGCUGGUUUACCUGAUGGAGUCUUAAAUGUUGUUCAUGGUACCAAUGACGUAGUUAAUAAUAUCUGCGAUGAUGAAGACAUUAAGGCUAUAUCAUUUGUUGGUUCAAACACGGCUGGGAUGCAUAUAUAUGCCAGAGCUUCUGCUAAGGGAAAACGUGUUCAGUCAAACAUGGGUGCAAAGAACCAUGCAAUCAUCAUGCCUGAUGCAACUGUAGAUGCUACUUUAGAUGCGUUGGUUGCUGCUGGUUUUGGUGCUGCGGGGCAAAGGUGCAUGGCACUCAGUACUGUAGUUUUUGUUGGAGGCUCAAAACCAUGGGAGGACGAACUUAUUAAACGUGCCAAAGCACUGAAGGUAAAUGCAGGAAUUCAGCCUGGGGCAGACCUUGGUCCAGUGAUCAGUAGACAGGCAAAGGACCGCAUUUGCAGAUUGAUCCAAGGUGGCAUUGAAAGUGGGGCUAGAGUUGUGCUUGAUGGCAGGGACAUUGUGGUUCCUGGUUAUGCAGAUGGGAACUUUGUCGGUCCUACCAUUCUGGCUGAUGUUACAAGUCAUAUGGAGUGUUAUAAGGAGGAAAUUUUUGGACCAGUUCUCCUUUUGAUGCAGGUAUGGGAAUGGAGCUUCCAUAUUUACUACGUCAGGUGAUUCUGCAAGAAAAUUUCAGAAUGAUAUUGAGGCUGGCCAGGUUGGCAUUAAUGUGCCGAUUCCAGUGCCACUGCCAUUCUUCUCCUUCACCGGAUCCAAGGCUUCUUUUGCUGGAGAUCUAAAUUUUUACGGCAAGGCAGGCGUGCAGUUCUACACUCAGAUCAAAACGGUGACUCAACAGUGGAAGGAUUCACCAAGCCAGGGGGUGUCACUGGCAAUGCCCACAUCACAGAGAUAAUAAAAGCAUCCCUCACUGUUUUAUGCAUUGUCACUGGAAUGCUGCAUGUACUUUCUAAUGGACUUGCACUAUAAAUAUGAAAGCGUUUUCUGAUUUUGUUUUUUUUCUUGGAUCAGUGACACAGUAGACGCAAAACUGUACAUGUUUCCAUCAGUCUCUAGCAUGAUUCCUGAUGUCAUUCAUGCGCAACUACUGAAUAACCAAUCUGAUAGUUGUCCAUAAGUUACGCCACCAUUUUCUCUCCCCUCUCUCUCUAGUUCUCUGAGUAGUUGAAGAGCUCGACCGAUGCCUAAUUCGUGUUUGUCCUGAUGAUUCUCUUCGUCUGUUGAGCCGAUAUUCUUGAUAACAAGGCUUAUUCGGAAUAUAUAGGCUCAAUUGGCUGGCACUCAUGUUGGCUAUUUUUCUCUUAAACAUGCUGAUGCAUUACAUUUAUUUACUGCUUCCAAGCCUGCAAGGCAUGCUGUUGGUUUUUUUUUAAGCUAUAAGAUAUGCUGGAUUUAGAGACUGGCUGAUAGUUAAUUUUCAAGGAUGAAGAUGAAUUUGGUUUAAGGGAUCAUAAGGUAGUUUGGUCUGACAGAAACUUAUGAUGGAUCUGCCAUCUAGCUUCUCACAGACAAGUAUGACUGACUGUUUUCUCUCUACUAGUUUGGAGAUGUUGGAACAUGAAGGUCAUAUAGCUGGUGAAGAAUGGUGGAGUUACAUUAACAAUUGUCUAUACAACACAUAUUAGGAAGAAAUAAAAAGAAUAUCACCGUCACCAUAUAAUUAUAAAUACCGGGAACCUACGAGGAUGACAUUUAUGAUGUAUUAUGACAUUCUUUGGUCAUCUUGCUGCAAUUGGCAAUGUAUAUGUAGGCUUUUGUGCCAUCAUUUAAAAUAAAAAAAAUGAAAAAAAAUGUAAUAUGACAAUUUUAUUUUUUACUAAUGUUGGGUUAUACCAUCGACUCCUCUUUUUUUACUGAUAUUUGCAUCAAUUUUAACAAGAUAUAAGUCUUUUCAUUUUUAACCCUUAGCAAAUUAGCUUAUGCGUCGCAACAUUGCAAAAUAUGAUGCGGCACAACGUCUUUUGAUCCUCGUGACGAGGGCAAAAUCCAUGAAAAAAUUGCUCAAUAUCUGGCUUCAAGACUUGGUUGCCAUAAAUUGGUCACCCAAGCAGUUUCCUCUUCGAUCUUAAGGACGUUGCAGUGUGCUAUUACAAAAAAGGCAAACAAAAUCAGACUUGACUUCCAAAAAUCUUCUUGAUAACAGCACCCAGUCGCAAAAUUAAUUAAUAUUUUAUGUGCGUGUUUUCCCUUCUUGGCAAAUUGGUGUACUUCUUUUAUGAGGGAGAUGAUGGCGAUGACGAGCUCCCGCCUUGUACUCUCCUCCGGCCCCUCCGUCGACGAACGCACCGCCGUAAGCGGCGGCGGAGGAGCACGAGGAGGAAUUGACGGCGGCGCUGGGAUGCUGCCCUUGCCCCUGCGGUGGCCCAAGAAGAUAACAUAACGAGCGGUUCCGAUCCCUUGCGAAGCGCUUCGUGAAGCUCCGCCUCAGCUCCUCCUAUCGCCGCUCCUAUGGCUCUGCCGUCGUCGUCGGACUUGCCCCCGUCCUAUGGUGCUGAGACUCCGCAAGAAAUCCGUGACCCCUUUACUUCGGUUGUGCGUGUCAGCCCAAAGAAUUCUCUGGGAUGCAAUUAAUAGAUUCUGUUGAAGCAGUUUUCCUGAUGAAGAUUCCCAUGAGGUUUCGUGCACUCAACCCUCUACUUCGGUUGUGCGUGUCAGCCCAAAGAAUUCUCUGGUAUGCAAUUAAUGGAUUCUGUUGUAGCAGUUUUCCUGUUGAAGAUUCCCAUGAGGUUUCGUGAACUGAAUGGGGAUUGGGGAUCAAGAGGAAAUGGUUUCCCAAAAUUGGUUACCGUCGCCUCGCCAGAUAUGAGUCCUUAAUGGGAUCCAGAUUUUAAUCCAACUUGGUGUUUGUCUGAAGGGUUACGUUUA